rnacentral:piRNA from 1 species
CGAAAGCAUCACCUGCAUGCACUGUCUUUA